AUGGGCCAAAAGCUUUCCCGGAGGGAAGGUGUGGAAGAGACCAACCAGAGAGAUGUUCCAGGAGCCCAAGAAAUGUCCUGGCAGGGAACGAGGAGCAGCCAAGAGCUGUACCAAGGCCAGGUACGUGUGAGAGCCGAGCCGGCAGCUGCUGCCCCGGCUGGAGCUGCUGAGGAGGAGGAGGAGCCGGAGUGGGCAGUGUUGGCGCUGGCAGGGCCAGUGCAGUCACAGCACUGGAGCCUGGAGGCCUUGGCUCCGGACAGCGACUGGUCAUCCAACAGUGAGGAAGAGGAAGGAGAAGUGGAGCCAGAGCUGUCCCAGGGGACAGUCUCGCUCAUCCAAGAGCUGUCCCAGGAGGAGGACGAUGUGAGCUCCAGCUCUGGGGAGAAGCCUGUGGGCCCAGUGAAGGAGGGGGACACCCAGCCUUCUCCCCCAGAGGGGCCCAGCUCUGCCAGCCCCGUGGGCACAGAGGUGGCAGCAGAGGCAGCCCCUGCCCUGCCCAGCGCCUCUCCUCUCCCCGGCAGUCCCACGGAGGCCGAGCCGGCAGCUGCUGCCCCGUCCGGAGCUGCUGAGGAGGCAGCAGCGGGGUCAGGACUGGCAGUGCAGGAGAGGACGGAUGACGACGACGAUGACGAAAUGAAAUUCUGGCAAUACUUGGAUGACCUGGCGCCUUUCCUGGUUGGAGACCCAGAGCUGUCCCAGGAAGCGUCCUACUAUGACCAAUACAGAGAGGAAGAUCUGCCCCAUGGUGUAGUCAUGACUUAUCACCAGCUCUUUGACUGGGAAAAAUAUUUGGAGCAAGACCUGUCCCAGGGAGAAGUCAGCAGCUCCCAAGGCCCCUCCGACUGGGAAGAAUACCCUGAGCAAGUGCUGUGCGGAGGAGAUGUCGUCAGCUGCGAAGAACUUUCAGACUGGGAAGAACACCUUGGCCAGAAGGUGUCCAGAGGGAAUGGCAGCAGACCCUCAGGGCUCUCCAGCUGGGACAACGACAGCGACACGGGGCUCGUGCAGGAGAACUGGCCCCAGCACGUCAUCUUGGCCAAGCCCUUGUGCCCCGAGGACGAUGAGUGGGACGAUGUGAGCCUCCUGGAGCUGCCCCCAGAAGACGGCAAACACCAGAAAAGGAAAGUUUUAGUGGCAGAGGGGCUCCCAGUGCCCGUCCCUCGGGAGGCCUGGGCUGAGUGCCCGGCACAGGAGCCGUGCAGCCAAGGGCCGGCGCCUGCCCCGCACAGCCCCCCCAGCCCCUGGCCUGCCCGGCUGGGAGCCCAGGCCCUCCGCGGGCAGCCGGCUGCCCCCAGGAAACGUCCCUCCCGCUUCAGGCGGGCGCUGCGGGCGCUGCGGGGGCUGUUCCGCUGUCCCUGCCUCAGGCCACGCACCGAGGAGUAAAACGGACACAGAAAAGGGUGAAGAGCAUGAAGAGAAGGAAGGUUAAGAACAGGAAGAACAUGAAGAUGACCGCUCCUGCCAGUCCCACUCCUCUGUGUCGGAGCAGCAGCUCUUCGGCUCGGCUCGAGGGGCUCAGAGAUUGCUGCUGCAGCUCCUCCAAGCCAGGGAAGAGAAAAGCCUUUGGAUGGGCCAGGCAAGCCAAGCAAGCCAAGCAAAGCCCAACCAGGCAGAGCCACGAAGACCUGGGCAGUGAGGCUUGGAAAAUGCCCACCCAAAGAGCCCAAAGCUCCCCCAUCCCUGCCCCGCACACACCCGGCCCCGGGCUGGAAGGUGCAAUAACCAUUUCUUGGGCACAAAGCAGAGGCUCCUGGAACAGACUCUCAGCACAAACCCCUCCGGGACAACGGCAAAGAAGACAAAGACAAAGAAGAUGAAGACGAAGACACAGAAAAUGAGGACAAAGACGACACAGCAGAUGAAGAAGAUGAAGACAAUGAAGAAGAUGAAGACAAAUAGGAUGAAGAAGAUGAAGACAAAUAGGAUGAAGAAGAUGAAGACAGCAAAGACGAAGAAGACAGAGAUGAAGACUAAAAAGACAAGACGGAGAAUGUUUAUUUAAGAAUAGAUAGAAGAAGUAUAGGAAUAAGAAUUUAGAGAUACUUAGAAGAAGAGUAGUAGGAAUAGGAAUAAGAAUUUCAAAAUAUGUAGAAGAAGAAUAGGAAUAGGAAUAAGGAUUUUAAAAUAUGUAGAAGAAGAAGAAAAAUAAGAAUAAGAAUAGAAAUAAGAAUAUAAAAAUACAUAGAAGUAGCAAAGAAGAAUAGUAAGAGUAGGAAGAAGAAGAACCAUAAGAAGAAUAAGAAUUGAUAUAUGAAGAGAAAAUAUAAGGAAUAAGUAAAAUUAGCACAUAAUUUCUUUUUAUUACAUAUUGUAUAAUCCUAUUACAGUUAUGCAAUAA
rnacentral:lncRNA from 1 species